GCACUUUGAAGAGUUAUUUUGGAGAGCAUAUCUUCGAGUUAUUUUAUUUUGAUUGUCAUUGAUGUAAUAGUUAUUUUCAAGGAGUUACUUUGUAUUAACUUAAAUUCUAUGUUAGCAAGUCGAAACCAAUAUAUGCUUGGAGGCUUGUAUAAAUUUUGGAUGAGAGCUUAUUGAGUGCAUUCUAAUCUGUUCAUUGUGGAACUAUUUUGUGAGAGAGUGCAAAUUGAUGUUGUAAAAAUUGUUGAGUGUUUACUGCCCAAG
rnacentral:lncRNA from 1 species